UGGGGAAUCUUGGACAAUGGGCGCAAGCCUGAUCCAGCCAUGCCGCGUGGAUGAUGAAGGCCUUAGGGUUGUAAAAUCCUUUCGUUGGGGACGAUAAUGACGGUACCCAAAGAAGAAGCUCCGGCUAACUUCGUGCCAGCAGCCGCGGUAAUACGAAGGGGGCUAGCGUUGUUCGGAUUUACUGGGCGUAAAGCGCGUGUAGGCGGACUUGUAAGUUGGGGGUGAAAUCCCGAGGCUCAACCUCGGAACUGCCUCCAAAACUACAAAUCUGGACCUAAGUAGAGGCAAGUGGAAUUGCGAGUGUAGAGGUGAAAUUCGUAGAUAUUAGGAAGAACACCAGUGGCGAAGGCGGCUCACUGGUCCGGUUCUGACGCUGAGGUGCGAAAGCGUGGGGAGCAAACAGGAUUAGAUACCCCUGUAGUCCCUGAGCGGGCUGGCAAGGCGCAU
rnacentral:rRNA from 1 species